rnacentral:rRNA from 1 species
UCGGGAAUUUUGGGCAAUGGGCGAAAGCCUGACCCAGCAACGCCGCGUGAGGGAUGAAGUAUUUCGGUAUGUAAACCUCGAAAGAAUGGGAAGAAUAAAUGACGGUACCAUUUAUAAGCUCCGGCUAACUACGUGCCAGCAGCCGCGGUAAUACGUAGGGAGCAAGCGUUGUUCGGAUUUACUGGGCGUAAAGGGCGCGUAGGCGGCGCGGUAAGUCACUUGUGAAAUCUCUGAGCUUAACUCAGAACGGCCAAGUGAUACUGCUGUGCUAGAGUGCGGAAGAGGCAACCGGAAUUCUUGGUGUAGCGGUGAAAUGCGUAGAUAUCGAGAGGAACACCUGAGGCGAAGGCGGGUUGCUGGGCCGACACUGACGCUGAUGCGCGAAAGCCAGGGGAGCAAACG